rnacentral:lncRNA from 1 species
AUGACCACAGAAUCAUAUAUGACUUUUAAAAUUAAUAACAUUUCUCUAUUUGCGCCAGCUGCAAAUGUGGAUGCAGAUGUCCUGCCAACCUUAACGAGAGAAGAUUUAAAGGACCUCUUUCCUGGGCCGGAACACUUUCGAAGAAGGAAAGCCAUUUGGGACCUGGCCCACCCUGUGGAGCAGGCAACAGAAGAAAGUGAGGGUCCUGUUCAUCCUGCAGUUAAAAUAAGUCCUUUAGUUGUGCAGCUCCCAAGUCCGCAAUAUGUGAUUUAUACUGACAGUGAAUUAGAGCAUGUGAGGAGAGAAUAUUUUGAAUUUAAACGCAUUGGGCGAGAAAGGGAGUGCCGGCUUUCUAAAGAGCUGUACUGUAGACUGAUAAGAAAUACGAUUAUCAGCAUGAUAACUGCUGUGAGAGCGUCAGGUGGGACUGACUGCCUGCAAUACCCCACAAAAGUGGGGCUGCAGGCCAUGGCCAGACGAAUCAUGGACUACUAUCCAAUGGUUGCUGACUGGGCAAACACCAGCUGUCCAUGGUCCGAUAUCUUUAAGAAGCUCAGCAAGAGACUCCAAAACAUCAAGUCUCCACGAAAAUGGCAAGGAGCUACACCAUCGAGAGGCAAUGGGAAAAGAAGACGCCUUUCAUUUGAGAACACUACAGGCAAGGAACUCACAGACGAGGGAGAAGAGCCAGUCCUGGACUUGAGCCCGUGCUCUUCUAAUGUCUCUCCAAGAAACACCAUUUGCACCCCAGAAAGCCCACAGGUUCACUCUCCUAAUACGGCCAGCGAGAACCUAGUUAGAUCAGGCAAGUCACCUUGUGGAUCUCUAGCAGCAAAAGAACAGAAAUAAAAGCUUGGUAC